GGGGGCAAGCGUUGUUCGGAAUUACUGGGCGUAAAGGGCUCGUAGGCGGCCAACUAAGUCAGACGUGAAAUCCCUCGGCUCAACCGGGGAACUGCGUCUGAUACUGGGUGGCUUGAAUCCGGGAGAGGGAUGCGGAAUUCCAGGUGUAGCGGUGAAAUGCGUAGAUAUCUGGAGGAACACCGGUGGCGAAGGCGGCAUCCUGGACCGGCAUUGACGCUGAGGCGCGAAAGCCAGGGGAGCAAACGGG
rnacentral:rRNA from 1 species